rnacentral:rRNA from 1 species
GGUAAUGCCGGAUGCUCCGACUCCUCGCAUGGGGUGUCGGGAAAGAUUUCAUCGGUAUGGGAUGGGGUCGCGUCCUAUCAGGUAGUCGGCGGGGUAACGGCCCACCGAGCCUACGACGGGUAGCCGGCCUGAGAGGGCGACCGGCCACAUUGGGACUGAGAUACGGCCCAGACUCCUACGGGAGGCAGCAGUGGGGAAUAUUGCACAAUGGGCGCAAGCCUGAUGCAGCGACGCCGCGUGCGGGAUGACGGCCUUCGGGUUGUAAACCGCUUUUGAUCGGGAGCAAGCCUUCGGGUGAGUGUACCUUUCGAAUAAGCACCGGCUAACUACGUGCCAGCAGCCGCGGUAAUACGUAGGGUGCAAGCGUUAUCCGGAAUUAUUGGGCGUAAAGGGCUCGUAGGCGGUUCGUCGCGUCCGGUGUGAAAGUCCAUCGCUUAACGGUGGAUCUGCGCCGGGUACGGGCGGGCUGGAGUGCGGUAGGGGAGACUGGAAUUCCCGGUGUAACGGUGGAAUGUGUAGAUAUCGAGAGA